GAAUGAAGAACGCAGCGAAAUGCGAUAAGUAAUGUGAAUUGCAGAAUUCAGUGAAUCAUCGAAUCUUUGAACGCACAUUGCGCCCGCCAGUAUUCUGGCGGGCAUGCCUGUUCGAGCGUCAUUUCAACCCUCAAGCCCCCGGGCUUGGAGUUGGGGAUCGGCGUGCCCUCGCGGCGCGCCGUCCCCUAAAUCUAGUGGCGGUCUCGCUGUAGCUUCCUCUGCGUAGUAGCAACACUCGCACUGGAUCGCAGCGCGGCCACGCCGUUAAACCCCCCACUUCUGAAAGUUUGACCUCGGAUCAGGUAGGAAUACCCGCUGAACUUAAGCAUAUCAAUAAGCGGAGGA
rnacentral:misc_RNA from 1 species